AUGGCGGAGGAACCAUCUGCCAAGCGUCCUCGUGGUGAGACGUCCGACCAGAGCCCCGAGGUCGACGACGUUCAGGUCCCCGGUCAGAAGCACGACUACAAAGUGCACCUCAAGGAGGUUGACAUCCACGGCAAGGAAAAGCUGGAUGUCGUAUGCACCAGCAAUCCUGAGGAAGCCGACAAGAUGAUCAGCAGGAUCCUGAAGAGGGUCUGCAGCUUGUGCCCUCAGUACAUCGGUGUUGAUGUCGAGUAUACCAGGGAGGACGAACCUCCGCAGAGGGCAGCGGUUCUACAGUUAUGCGUGGAGGAACUCUGUUUGGUAUAUCACAUCACCGCGGCAACAAAAUGGCCCAAGAGCCUGCGCCCGUUCCUGAAGGAGGACAGGUUCUACACCUUUGCCGGCUUCAGUAUUGAAGGUGACAAAGAGAUGAUGCGAAGUUCUGGUUUGGAGAUCAACCCCGACAAGUACAUCGACAUCCAACGCAAAUGGAGAGUUCCUUUCAAGGGAAGAAAGAGGUACCACUCUUUGGCUGAUGUUGCAGGGAGCGUGAUCCACCCAUUCUACAAACAGAUGAAGGAUAAGAUUGAUAGGGUUGAAGACCAUAAACUGUGGGGGAUCAGACCACUGCCAAAUUACCUCAUUGAGUAUGCAGUGAUAGAUGCGUACGCCACCUACGAGUCAUGGAAGAGAAUUGAAAACAUCAGAGAAGGUCUGGAGAGUGCAAAAGAGGCAGAGAAGAAUUAUGACGAUCCUUACUACGGAUACUAG
rnacentral:rRNA from 1 species